GACGAACGCUGGCGGCGUGCUUAACACAUGCAAGUCGAACGAUGAACCCGGAGCUUGCUCCGGUGGAUUAGUGGCGAACGGGUGAGUAACACGUGAGUAACCUGCCCUUGACUCUGGGAUAACUGCGGGAAACUGUAGCUAAUACCGGAUACGACCCUCGGCGGCAUCGCCAGGGGGUGGAAAGAAUUUCGGUCAAGGAUGGACUCGCGGCCUAUCAGCUAGUUGGGGAGGUAACGGCUCACCAAGGCGACGACGGGUAGCCGGCCGGAGAGGGUGACCGGCCACACUGGGACUGAGACACGGGCCAGACUCCUACGGGAGGCAGCAGUGGGGAAUAUUGCACAAUGGGCGCAAGCCUGAUUCAGCAACGCCGCGUGAGGGAUGACGGCCUUCGGGUUGUAAACCUCUUUUAGUAGGGAAGAAGCGAAAGUGGCGGUACCUGCAGAAAAAGCACCGGCUAACUACGUGCCAGCAGCCGCCGUAA
rnacentral:rRNA from 1 species